rnacentral:rRNA from 1 species
CGGAGGGGGCUAGCGUUGGUCGGAAAUACUGGGCGUAAAGCGCACGUAGGCGGCUCAGCAAGUCAGAGGUGAAAUCCCAGGGCUCAACCCUGGAACUGCCUUUGAAACUGCUAGGCUAGAAUCAUGGAGAGGUCAGUGGAAUUCCGAGUGUAGAGGUGAAAUUCGUAGAUAUUCGGAAGAACACCAGUGGCGAAGGCGACUGACUGGACAUGUAUUGACGCUGAGGUGCGAAAGCGUGGGGAGCAAACAGG